rnacentral:rRNA from 1 species
CCUACGGGAGACAGCAGUGAGGAAUAUUGGUCAAUGGGCGCGAGCCUGAACCAGCCAAGUAGCGUGAAGGAUGACUGCCCUACGGGUUGUCAACUUCUUUUAUAAAGGAAUAAAGUGAGGCAAGUGUGCCUUUUUGUAUGGACUUUAUGAAUAAGGAUCGGGUAACUCCGUGCCAGCAGCCGAGGUGAUACGGUGGAUCCGAGCGUUAUCCGGAUUUGUUGGGUUUAAAGGGAGCGUAGAUGGGUUGUUAAGUCAGUUGUGAAAGUUUGCGGCUCAACCGUAAAAUUGCAAUUGAUACUGGCAGCCUUGAGUACAGUUGAGGUAGGCGGAAUUCGUGGUGUAGCGGUGAAAUGCGUAGAUAUCACGAAGAACUCCGAUUGCGAAGGCAGCCUACUAAGCUGCCACUGACAUUGAUGCACGAAAGUGUGGGUAGCAAACAGGAUUAGAUACCCUUGUAGUC